GACGAACGCUGGCGGCGUGCCUAAUACAUGCAAGUAGAACGCUGAAGGAGGAGCUUGCUCUUCUGGAUGAGUUGCGAACGGGUGAGUAACGCGUAGGUAACCUGCCUGGUAGCGGGGGAUAACUAUUGGAAACGAUAGCUAAUACCGCAUAACAGUAGAUGUUGCAUGACAUUUACUUAAAAGGUGCAAUUGCAUCACUACCAGAUGGACCUGCGUUGUAUUAGCUAGUUGGUGGGGUAACGGCUCACCAAGGCGACGAUACAUAGCCGACCUGAGAGGGUGAUCGGCCACACUGGGACUGAGACACGGCCCAGACUCCUACGGGAGGCAGCAGUAGGGAAUCUUCGGCAAUGGACGGAAGUCUGACCGAGCAACGCCGCGUGAGUGAAGAAGGUUUUCGGAUCGUAAAGCUCUGUUGUAAGAGAAGAACGAGUGUGAGAGUGGAAAGUUCACACUAUGACGGUAUCUUACCAGAAAGGGACGGCUAACUAUGUG
rnacentral:rRNA from 1 species